GAGGAGGCAGCAGUGAGGAAUAUUGCAUAAUGGGCGCAAGCCUGAUGCAGCAACGCCGCGUGUGCGAUGAAGGCCUUCGGGUUGUAAAGCACUUUUGGCCGGGAAGAGGAAGGACGGUACCGGUCGAAGAAGCCUCGGCUAACUACGUGCCAGCAGCCGCGGUAAAACGUAGGAGGCGAGCGUUAUCCGGAUUUACUGGGUGUAAAGCGCGUGCAGGCGGUUGGCUAAGGUGGGUGUGAAAGCUCCUGGCUCAACUGGGAGAGGUCGCUCAAGACUGGUCGACUGGAGAGCAGUAGAGGAAGGUGGAAUUCCGGGUGUAGUGGUGAAAUGCGUAGAUAUCCGGAGGAACACCAGUGGCGAAAGCGGCCUUCUGGACUGCAUCUGACGCUCAGACGCGAAAGCUAGGGGAGCAAACGGGAUUAGAUACCCCUGUAGUCG
rnacentral:rRNA from 1 species